GACGAACGCUGGCGGCGUGCUUAACACAUGCAAGUCGAACGGAAAGGCCCUGCUUUUGUGGGGUGCUCGAGUGGCGAACGGGUGAGUAACACGUGAGUAACCUGCCCUUGACUUUGGGAUAACUUCAGGAAACUGGGGCUAAUACCGGAUAGGAGCUCCUGCUGCAUGGUGGGGGUUGGAAAGUUUCGGCGGUUGGGGAUGGACUGGCGGCUUAUCAGCUUGUUGGUGGGGUAGUGGCUUACCAAGGCUUUGACGGGUAGCCGGCCUGAGAGGGUGACCGGCCACAUUGGGACUGAGCUACGGCCCAGACUCCUACGGGAGGCAGCAGUGGGGAAUAUUGCACAAUGGGCGGAAGCCUGAUGCAGCAACGCCGCGUGCGGGAUGACGGCCUUCGGGUUGUAAACCGCUUUCGCCUGUGACGAAGCGUGAGUGACGGUAAUGGGUAAAGAAGCACCGGCUAACUACGUG
rnacentral:rRNA from 1 species